rnacentral:rRNA from 1 species
AGGUCCAUGUCCGAGAGGGAAAGAACCCAGACCAUCAGCUAAGGUCCCAAAAUAUGUGUUAAGUUGACAAAACGCGGUGAAACUGCAUAGACAGCCAGGAUGUUGGCUUGGAAGCAGCCAUUCAUUUAAAGAGUGCGUAACAGCUCACUGGUCGAGCGGUUUUGCAUGGAUAAUAAUCGGGCAUAAACACAAUACCGAAGCUAUGGACGAAAGUGGUAGGGGAGCAUUCUAUGGGCGUUGAAGGUGUAUCGUGAGGUAUGCUGGAGCGCAUAGAAAAGAAAAUGUAGGCAUAAGUAACGAUAAGCGGUGCGAGAAACACCGCCGCCGAAAGACUAAGGUUUCCCCAGCUAUGCUAAUCAGCUGGGGGUCAGUCAGGACCUAACGCGAACCCGAAAGGGGUAGUGGAUGGACAAACGGUUAAUAUUCCGUUACCUCCGUAUCAUUAAAAGUGACGGGGCCCUGGAGUUACUGCGCACUGACGGAAUAGUGCGUUGAAGCUUCGGCAAUAGUACACCAAGACUUCGGUCGCGGUGAUAAUGUAGCGAAGGGGCCUCCAAGAAAAGCGAGAUACGGAGCCUGUACCGUAAACCGACACAGGUAGUUGGGAUGAGUAUUCUAAGGCGCUCGAGAGAUUCAUGGCUAAGGAACUAGGCAAAAUUGACCUGUAACUUCGGGAGAAAGGUCGCCCCCUUUGGGGGGCCGCAGUGAAAAGGCCCAGGCGACUGUUUAUCAAAAACACAGGACUAUGCUAAGUCGAAAGACGAUGUAUAUGGUCUGACACCUGCCCGGUGCUGGAAGGUUAAAGGGAGUUGUUAGCUUCGGUGAAGCAACGAACUGAAGCCCCAGUAAACGGCGGCCGUAACUAUAACGGUCCUAAGGUAGCGAAAUUCCUUGUCGGGUAAGUUCCGACCUGCACGAAUGGUGCAACGAUCUGGACACUGUCUCAGCCAUGAGCUCGGUGAAAUUGUAGUAUCGGUGAAGAUGCCGAUUACCCGCUGUGGGACGAAAAGACCCCGUGCACCUUUACUAUAGCUUAGUAUUGGUUUUGGAUAAGUAAUGUGUAGGAUAGGUGGGAGACUUUGAAGCGGCGUCGCUAGGCGUUGUGGAGUCAUUGUUGAAAUACCACCCUUUGCUUAUCUAGAGUCUAACUUCUUGCGAAGGACAGUGCUUGGUGGGUAGUUUGACUGGGGUGGUCGCCUCCAAAAGAGUAACGGAGGCUUCUAAAGGUACCCUCAGCACGCUUGGUAACCGUGCGUAGAGUGCAAUGGCAUAAGGGUGCUUGACUGAGAGACCUACAAGUCGAUCAGGUACGAAAGUAGAGCAUAGUGAUCCGGUGGUUCCGCAUGGAAGGGCCAUCGCUCAAAGGAUAAAAGGU